AGUUUAGUGCCUGAAAAAGGAUUAUCUCGAUACGGUAAAUCAUGCAAGUCAAUCUUGUCUAAACUA
rnacentral:tRNA from 1 species